rnacentral:rRNA from 1 species
ACGAACGCUGGCGGCAUGCCUAACACAUGCAAGUCGAACGAGAUUAUUGACUUCGGUUGAUAGUCUAGUGGCGCACGGGUGCGUAACGCGUGGGAAUCUACCCUUGGGUUCGGAAUAACAGUGAGAAAUUACUGCUAAUACCGGAUGAUGACGUAAGUCCAAAGAUUUAUCGCCCAGGGAUGAGCCCGCGUAAGAUUAGCUAGUUGGUGGGGUAAAGGCCUACCAAGGCUACGAUCUUUAGCUGGUCUGAGAGGAUGAUCAGCCACACUGGGACUGAGACACGGCCCAGACUCCUACGGGAGGCAGCAGUGGGGAAUAUUGGACAAUGGGCGAAAGCCUGAUCCAGCAAUGCCGCGUGAGUGAUGAAGGCCUUAGGGUUGUAAAGCUCUUUUACCAGGGAUGAUAAUGACAGUACCUGGAGAAUAAGCUCCGGCUAACUCCGU